GUGGGAGGGGAGAGGCAGCAAGCACACAGGGCCCGGGACUAGAUGCUGACCUCCCUCCUGCCCCAG
ensembl:miRNA